CCUACGGGAGGCAGCAGUGAGGAAUAUUGGUCAAUGGUCGGGAGACUGAACCAGCCAAGCCGCGUGAGGGAUGAAGGUACAGAGUAUCGUAAACCUCUUUUGUCAGGGAACAAAGGCGGGGACGUGUCCCCGGAUGAGUGUACCUGAAGAAAAAGCAUCGGCUAACUCCGUGCCAGCAGCCGCGGUAAUACGGAGGAUGCGAGCGUUAUCCGGAUUUAUUGGGUUUAAAGGGUGCGCAGGCGGAGGUGCAAGUCAGCGGUCAAAUUGCGGGGCUCAACCCCGUACUGCCGUUGAAACUGCAUCCCUUGAGUGCGCGAGAAGUAUGCGGAAUGCGUGGUGUAGCGGUGAAAUGCAUAGAUAUCACGCAGAACUCCGAUUGCGAAGGCAGCAUACCGGCGCGCAACUGACGCUCAUGCACGAAAGCGUGGGUAUCGAACAGGAUUAGAUACCCGGGUAGUC
rnacentral:rRNA from 1 species